rnacentral:rRNA from 2 species
AUGAACGCUAGCGGCAGGCUUAACACAUGCAAGUCGAGGGGUAUAAGUCUUCGGAUUUAGAGACCGGCGCACGGGUGCGUAACGCGUAUGCAAUCUACCUUUUACAGAGGGAUAGCCCAGAGAAAUUUGGAUUAAUACCUCAUAGCAUUAUGAAAUGGCAUCAUUUUAUAAUUAAAGUCACAACGGUAAAAGAUGAGCAUGCGUCCCAUUAGCUAGUUGGUAAGGUAACGGCUUACCAAGGCUACGAUGGGUAGGGG